rnacentral:rRNA from 1 species
UGGGGAAUAUUGGGCAAUGGGCGCAAGCCUGACCCAGCAACGCCGCAUGAAGGAAGAAGGUCUUCGGAUUGUAAACUUCUGUCAUUGGGGACGAAGGAAGUGACGGUACCCAAUGAGGAAGCCCCGGCUAACUACGUGCCAGCAGCCGCGGUAAUACGUAGGGGGCGAGCGUUGUCCGGAAUUACUGGGCGUAAAGGGUGCGUAGGCGGCGAUGCAAGUCCAUUGUGAAAAGCCCGGGCUUAACCUGGGAGGUGCAGUGGAAACUGCAUGGCUUGAGUGCAGGAGAGGAAAGUGGAAUUCCUAGUGUAGCGGUGAAAUGCGUAGAUAUUAGGAGGAACACCAGUGGCGAAGGCGGCUUUCUGGAUUGUAACUGACGCUGAGGCACGAAAGCGUGGGGAGCAAACAG